GACCUGUGCUCUGAGGCAGGAGUUGGCAGGUUCCAUACAUCCCUCUGAUGUGAGGAGGAUCACUGUGUAAAGGCUCUGCACAACCUUAGGGCUGCCAUUCCUGGAAACAGACACAGCCAUAUGCUACAGCCUGGAUGCUGGCCUCAGGCUCCAGGCGACAAUCACCAGGCCAAAAACUACUGCUCCUAAUCUCCCUGGUACCUGGUUCAGGGUCAGUGAUCAAAGUGCCCAUGAACUUGAGGCCAGCAAGCUCCACAAGAAGACAGAGGCAGCACAUCCUGCAGAGACUUCAGGACCCAGGAUGCGACAUCCAGUGGGAGGUUUCUUCGCUGUUCGCCUUUGAGAACCAUGGGUCAGAUGUCCUCAUAGUGAUGUUCUCUGGCAGAUGGGGUACCAGUGAGAAAUAAAUACGGGUCCAACCACACCUCA